GAUGAACGCUGGCGGCGUGCCUAAUACAUGCAAGUCGAGCGAACAGACGAGGAGCUUGCUCCUCUGACGUUAGCGGCGGACGGGUAAGUAACACGUGGAUAACCUACCUAUAAGACUGGGAUAACUUCGGGAAACCGGAGCUAAUACCGGAUAAUAUAUUGAACCGCAUGGUUCAAUAGUGAAAGACGGUUUUGCUGUCACUUAUAGAUGGAUCCGCGCCGCAUUAGCUAGUUGGUAAGGUAACGGCUUACCAAGGCAACGAUGCGUAGCCGACCUGAGAGGGUGAUCGGCCACACUGGAACUGAGACACGGUCCAGACUCCUACGGGAGGCAGCAGUAGGGAAUCUUCCGCAAUGGGCGAAAGCCUGACGGAGCAACGCCGCGUGAGUGAUGAAGGUCUUCGGAUCGUAAAACUCUGUUAUUAGGGAAGAACAAAUGUGUAAGUAACUAUGCACGUCUUGACGGUACCUAAUCAGAAAGCCACGGCUAACUACGU
rnacentral:rRNA from 1 species